AUUGAACGCUGGCGGCAUGCUUUACACAUGCAAGUCGAACGGUAACAGGCCGCAAGGUGCUGACGAGUGGCGAACGGGUGAGUAAUGCAUCGGAACGUGCCCAGUCGUGGGGGAUAACUGCUCGAAAGAGCAGCUAAUACCGCAUACGAUCUAUGGAUGAAAGCGGGGGACCGUAAGGCCUCGCGCGAUUGGAGCGGCCGAUGUCAGAUUAGGUAGUUGGUGGGGUAAAGGCUCACAAAGCCAACGAGCUGGAGCUGGUCUGAGAGGACGACCAGCCACACUGGGACUGGGACACGGGCCAGACUCCUACGGGAGGCAGCAGUGGGGAAUUUUGGACAAUGGGGGCAACCCGGAUCCAGCAAUGCCGCGUGCAGGAAGAAGGCCUUCGGGUUGUAAACUGCUUUUGUACGGAACGAAACGGUCUGGGUUAAUACCCUGGGCUAAUGACGGUACCGUAAGAAUAAGCACCGGCUAACUACGUGCCAGCCGCCGCCGUAAGAC
rnacentral:rRNA from 1 species